rnacentral:lncRNA from 1 species
UAAUAUAAUUAACAGAUUUAAAUUUUGUUUCUUAUUUAAUUGGAAAAAAAAAUCACAUAACUACAUGGGUCUUUCUUUUGUUAAUUGAAAAAAAAAUUAAAACUUUGUUCCAAGAAUAAUAUAUAUAUCGCACCUAUUAAUUAAAGUAGGUAAAAAUGUAUGGAACUUAUAUAUCCGAACUACAAAUCAUUUGGAUUUAGCUAUCAAACCUUUUAAAAUUUUAAUUUCAUUAUCCAAUCUUUCAAAUUGUUUGAUUUGAAUCAGCUAACGACACUUUUGACUCAAAUUCUAAGUUAAUUACUUACUUUACUGAACUUAUUAUUGUGACAAUUGCACGAAAUAUACUAAUUAAACCUAUAACGACACAUAUAUUUAAGUUUUGAAGUCAAAAUGCAGUUAACUAACUCAAAUUGUAAUAGAAUUAAAAUUUUGAAAGGUUGAGUAGCCAAAUCCAAAUGGACCUAGUCAAGUUCCAUACAAUUUUCCCAUUGAUGUACAAUAAAUUAAAAUUGAAGGCUAAAGUGCAACUGAUUUUAUAGUCCAAGAAUUAGUGUUGCAAUUUACCCUAAAUUUGUAACUACUUGUAAAUUAACGCAUACACCACAUGAGAUGCUCAUAAAAUAUAGGUCUCUUUCGAAAUUAUGGGAAAAAAAUUAUAGACAGAUUGGAAAAUUGAGUUAGUAUGAUGGGAAAAUAAAUUUAAAAAAGCGUUUCAUUUGUUUCUGUACGUAAUAUCAUAUUAUAUAUUUCGCAAUGAGUUGAUUGUGAUAUAUUUUUUGUAAUUCUAUUGAAAAACUAAAAAAAAUAUAUUCCAAUGUACUUUCCGUGCUGCUCCGUUUUGCCUAACAGUACUACAAGAUGAGACUCAACAUGAAACAGGCUGUAGUAGAAUAUUGUAAGGGUUAAUUUCAAACAGACCCUUACAAAGAUAUUAAAUAGCAAAUAUAUUCCUAUAAAAUUUAAGUUAUCAAAUUUUUCUCUUCUAAAAUUCUUUGAUUUACAAAUAUAUCCCUGUAAAAUUUUUGGUUCCUUCAUAUACAUCCCUACCGUUUGAAUACUGUUAGUUUUUUUUAUUAGUGAUUAAUUGGUGCGUAGAAUAGCUAUUUCGCCCUUACAGAUUUGUCUAUGUAGAAAACUAUCGUUCUUGCUCUCUCUCUCUCUCUCUCUCUCUCUCUCUCUCUCUCUCUCUCUCUCUCUCCGCGACACGUGCGGCGUACUUCAUUUUUUCU